rnacentral:lncRNA from 1 species
AAAUAAAUUCAUUUUAUCACACAUUAAAAAAAAAAACAAAAUUAAGAACAAGAAUAAAUUAAAAAAGAAAGAAAAACACGAAAAUGUAAAUUAAUUUAUGGAAAAUAAAUUAAAUUAGGAAAAAAUAUUUAUAAGAUUUGAUUAAAAAAGGGAAAUAAAAAACGCAUACAAAAAGGAAGAAAUGAAAAUAAAAAUUAAAAAUUG